AUACUCUGGUUUCUCUUCAGAUCGUAUAAAUCUUUCGCCUUUUACUAAAGAUUUCCGUGGAGAGGAACAAGCACGAGUGUCGUGGAAUUUUUUGAGGCUCCCGCUUGGCGAGCU
rnacentral:snRNA from 1 species